AGCGUCCGGGCCCCGCGAGCCUGCAAGUGCGCGACGGUGAGGCUCAACGGCACCGCGCGCGGCGUCACCUUUCAUCACAGUCUAUUUCAAAUCAAGAUCCUCCAAAGCUCGUCUCUGUGUCAGCGAGUCCCUCCGGUGACAUAGUGGAGGGCAGCUCCGUGAAUCUGACCUGUAGCAGUGAUGCUAACCCUGCAGCUAAUUACACCCGGUACAAGGGGGACGGAGACUCACCACAAGCUUCGGGACAGACCUCCGCCAUCACCGACAUCAGAGCUGAACUGGGAAUUAUUACUGCAAAGCCCAGAACAGAAGGGGACGUGGUAACAACACCAAUCCGACUGUUGGGAAAGGGAACUCAGCAAUGAUAAUGGUUGUCAUCAGGCUGACUCUGAUGGUCCUGAUGCGGAUUCCUCUGCCUGUAUUGAAUCUGCAGACGAGGUAAAAC